rnacentral:tRNA from 1 species
UUGGGUGUGACUCAGUGGUAGAGCUCUGGCUUAGUAUGCAUGAAGCCCUGGGUUCAAUCCUCAGCACCAAAA